CAAUAUAUGUGACUCUUCGGAGUUUGCAUUGUUAAAUAUGCUAGUCCUUUCAUGAUUAUGUGAUAGGUGGUGCAUGGCCGUUCUUAGUUCGUGGAGUGAUCUGUCUGCUUAAUUGCGUUUCAAAUUACUUAUAAGGUAGCAAUACGCGAUGAAGCUUUCAAUAGUCCUCACGGAUUCACUUGAGUCUCUCGCUUCGCUAUCCUUUCNAAUGCAACGAACGUGACCGCAACCUCUUGUUGCCUUCGUUUAACAUCCUGCAGCUCGCUGUGGGUACUGAGGGCUUCACUCGGUGACUUUGGGCUGAGCAAUCGGUCUUUUGANCUGAGUANACUAGAGGGACCGCUGU
rnacentral:rRNA from 1 species